AUCAAUUGCAAAGUUAUAUAACAAGUACAUUUAUAUGCACCAAAACAGUGUUAAUAAGUUUUACCAAAUAGCCCAUUUCCCACGUGUUCUUGGUGCAAUAGAUGGUACUCAUAUACGUAUACAGUCUCCAAUGCAAGCAAUCGGUGAAGAAUUUAGGAAUAGAAAAGGUUACUUUUCUUUAAACGUUCAGGCUGUAUGUGAU